CGGGGUAUAGCUCAAUUGGCUAGAGCGCCUGCUUUGGGAGCAGGAGGCUGGGGGUUCAAGUCCCUCUACCCCGA
rnacentral:tRNA from 4 species